CACCUUCGGGUGAGCGGCGGACGGGUGAGUAACGCGUGGGAAUAUGCCCUUUGGUACGGAAUAGUCCUGGGAAACUGGGGGUAAUACCGUAUGCGCCCUUCGGGGGAAAGAUUUAUCGCCAAAGGAUUAGCCCGCGUUGGAUUAGGUAGUUGGUGGGGUAAUGGCCUACCAAGCCGACGAUCCAUAGCUGGUUUGAGAGGAUGAUCAGCCACACUGGGACUGAGACACGGCCCAGACUCCUACGGGAGGCAGCAGUGGGGAAUCUUAGACAAUGGGGGCAACCCUGAUCUAGCCAUGCCGCGUGAGUGAUGAAGGCCCUAGGGUUGUAAAGCUCUUUCAGCUGGGAAGAUAAUGACGGUACCAGCAGAAGAAGCCCCGGCUAACUCCGUGCCAGAGCCGGCGGUAAUAA
rnacentral:rRNA from 1 species